GCAAACUUGGUCAUUUAGAGGAAGUAAAAGUCGUAACAAGGUUUCCGUAGGUGAACCUGCGGAAGGAUCAUUAACAAAUUAUCCACAAUUAUGGAUAAUUUUAUCCAUAUCCACCUUGUGUGCAUGAUUGAAAUGUUUGUUGGCAGGUUGAUCUCUCUCGUGUUUGAGAGAGUCGUGGGUUUUAGGCUUUUGCCGGCUCGUCCUGCCAAUUUUAUUCUGGUAAACAAGUCUAAAUAUUAGUGUCUGAAAUAAAAAUAUAUUAAUUAAUACAACUUUCAACAACGGAUCUCUUGGCUCUCGCAUCGAUGAAGAACGCAGC
rnacentral:misc_RNA from 1 species